rnacentral:rRNA from 1 species
UACGUAGGGUGCGAGCGUUAAUCGGAUUUACUGGGCGUAAAGCGUGCGCAGGCGGCCCGUUAAGACAGGUGUGAAAUCCCUGGGCUCAACCUAGGAAUUGCGCUUGUGACUGGCGGGCUCGAGUACGGUAGAGGGGGGUGGAAUUCCUGGUGUAGCAGUGAAAUGCGUAGAGAUCAGGAGGAAUACCGAUGGCGAAGGCAGCCCCCUGGGCCUGUACUGACGCUCAUGCACGAAAGCGUGGGGAGCAAACAGG